UAGGGUUGGCCUGAUUGAUGAUGCCAUCAUCCAUCGCCGAUAGCUGAUAGACAUCACGAUGCUGCGCUGGCAAACAGCGUCAUCAGCUCCAGUAUCUCGCCCGUGCAUCUGUUGUCAUGCGACAGAGAAGUCACGUUCUAUAGACAGUUGUGAGGGUGCUGACAGCUGGUUGCCCAGGCUAUGGAUUAAAGGUAAUACUGUUGGCCAGAAGAGAAGGCCCUGCUGCCCCUGUCGGCCCACCGCUGCUGUCAGACAACAUCUCCAAGAUGCUAUAAACUGCAGGACUAGAUGGCCAUCGCAAGGUUACUAGAGAUUACACCAGCUCCAGACUGAAUCCAAACUCACUCGUGAAGACUUCACAUGACGCCAAC